rnacentral:rRNA from 1 species
AUUGAACGCUGUUGGCAUGCCUUACACAUGCAAGUCGAACGGUAACGGGUCCUUCGGGAUGCCGACGAGUGGCGAACGGGUGAGUAAUAUAUCGGAACGUGCCCAGUAGUGGGGGAUAACUGCUCGAAAGAGCAGCUAAUACCGCAUACGACCUGAGGGUGAAAGGGGGGGAUCGCAAGACCUCUCGCUAUUGGAGCGGCCGAUAUCAGAUUAGCUAGUUGGUGGGGUAAAGGCCUACCAAGGCAACGAUCUGUAGUUGGUCUGAGAGGACGACCAGCCACACUGGGACUGAGACACGGCCCAGACUCCUACGGGAGGCAGCAGUGGGGAAUUUUGGACAAUGGGCGCAAGCCUGAUCCAGCAAUGCCGCGUGCAGGAAGAAGGCCUUCGGGUUGUAAACUGCUUUUGUCAGGGAAGAAAUCUUCUGGGCUAAUACCCCGGGAGGAUGACGGUACCUGAAGAAUAAGCACCGGCUAACUACGUGCCAGCAGCCGCGGUAAUACGUAGGGUGCGAGCGUUAAUCGGAAUUACUGGGCGUAAAGCGUGCGCAGGCGGCUUUGCAAGACAGAUGUGAAAUCCCCGGGCUCAACCUGGGAGCUGCAUUUGUGACUGCAAGGCUAGAGUACGGCAGAGGGGGAUGGAAUUCCGCGUGUAGCAGUGAAAUGCGUAGAUAUGCGGAGGAACACCAAUGGCGAAGGCAAUCCCCUGGGCCUGUACUGACGCUCAUGCACGAAAGCGUGGGGAGCAAACAGGAUUAGAUACCCUGGUAGUCCACGCCCUAAACGAUGUCAACUGGUUGUUGGACGGCUUGCUGUUCAGUAACGAAGCUAACGCGUGAAGUUGACCGCCUGGGGAGUACGGCCGCAAGGUUGAAACUCAAAGGAACUGACGGGGACCCGCACAAGCGGUGGAUGAUGUGGUUUAAUUCGAUGCAACGCGAAAAACCUUACCUACCCUUGACAUGUCAAGAAUUCUGCAGAGAUGUGGAAGUGCUCGAAAGAGAACUUGAACACAGGUGCUGCAUGGCCGUCGUCAGCUCGUGUCGUGAGAUGUUGGGUUAAGUCCCGCAACGAGCGCAACCCUUGUCAUUAGUUGCUACGCAAGAGCACUCUAAUGAGACUGCCGGUGACAAACCGGAGGAAGGUGGGGAUGACGUCAGGUCCUCAUGGCCCUUAUGGGUAGGGCUACACACGUCAUACAAUGGCCGGUACAGAGGGCUGCCAACCCGCGAGGGGGAGCCAAUCCCAGAAAACCGGUCGUAGUCCGGAUCGUAGUCUGCAACUCGACUGCGUGAAGUCGGAAUCGCUAGUAAUCGCGGAUCAGCUUGCCGCGGUGAAUACGUUCCCGGGUCU